rnacentral:lncRNA from 1 species
GCCAGAGAGACACAGAUCACCCAGUACCAGGAUUUUUGAGAGGAAAAGGGAGGAGCUGUGCCUUGAGAAGAGAGAAGAAACCUUGCCCAAGGGAAGAGGUCUGUGGUGGAGUUCGCAAAAAGGGCCAGCGGUAGCCAUGAAGGGUCUGGGGGUGGUGUGGAGGUGUCCCCCAUCUCAAAAGAUACCAGAGGGGUGCCAGGAGCUCAACAGUUGAUUUCUCAAGUCCAGGGGGGAUGUUUAAGCCGACAGGAGAGGAAACUCACCAAUCAGCCGGUGUUAAAUGCAGAAAUCUAGUGAUCCAAUGGCGGGAAAGUGAGUCUGUGUGGCAGGUAGACUUGUCAGGAUGGAGUUCUGGCCUGUGGGCUUACCCCACAGUGGGGUGCAUCAGCACCAGAACAAAGGAUCCAAGUGACACCACCACUGAUGGAUCUAAGACUCGAAAUCUGACAAAAUAACAUGGUACAACAGGCCUCAUGUGGGAGAUGUAUUAAGAGGGAGGGGUCGGGGGUCGAAGAUGAAGCCUCUGGGUGGAGGAAGGGAAGAAGUGGGAAAGGAGGAUGUACUGGCUAUUUUUGUGUCAACUUGACACAGCUGGAGUUAUCACAGAGAAAGGAACUUCAGUUGAGGAAAUGCCUCCAUGAGAUCCAACUGUAAGGCAUUUCCCCAAUUAGUGAUCAAGGGGGAAAGGCCCCUUGUGGGUGGUGCCAUCUCUGGGCUGGCAGUCUUGGGUUCUAUAAGAGAGCAGGCUGAGCAAGCCAGGGGAGGCAAGCCAGUAAAGAACAUCCCUCCAUGGCCUCUGCAUCAGCUCCUGCUUCCUGACCUGCUUGAGUUCUAGUCCUGACUUCCUUGGUGAUGAACAGCAGUAUGGAAGUGUAAGCCGAAUAAAUCUUUUCCUCCCCAACUUGCUUCUUGGUCAUGAUGUUUGUGCAGGAAUAGGAACCCUGACUAAGACAAAUUGGUACCAGCAGAGUGGGGUAUUCCUGUGACAACCUGACCAUGUUUUGGGGAGGACUGUGGAAGGACUUUGGAACUUUGGGCCAGAAGAUCCAUUCGGUGUUAAGAGCUCUGUUGAAUGUUGUGUAGGAGCUUGGAAGAUAAUGUUGAGAACAGUGCAGGAGAUGGAGGCCUGGCUUGUGAAAUUUCAGAGGGAAGAUUAAAGACUCUUUUCAGGGCCAUUGCUAUUUUUGAUUGUGAAGAUUCUGUGGUUCUGGUUAGCUGGGGCUGAAGAAUCAGCUGUGAUUAACAAGAUACCAGAACUACUAAAGCAAAAAAAAUUGUAUUACUGGGACUAUUGAUGCUGGUUAGCUGGAGCUAAGAAAUUAGCGGUGAUUGAGAAGAGACCAGCAUCAUUGAGGUGACAUCUUCUGGGAAGUGUUUUCUGAGAGCACAGUGGCUGUGUUCCAGAUAUAGCCAAAGUUGUACCUUGUGCUGUGGCUGGACUUGGUAACGUGUAAGGGUCACCCAGGUGGUACUGGUUUUGAAGGCAUAAAGGAGUUGAGCAGAGCAGCUGAGGCUUGGCACUGUGAGAGGCCAUGGAAGGCCAUUGGUGAAGGUGCAGCCUCAGUUGCAAUUGAUGGCCCAGGACUGAAGGGGUCAUGCAGUGUUUUGGAGAUGCCAGUACCAUGAGAUGACCACCAAGAACAGCAGCAGCAGUGGAGUACAGGCAUCUGGAGCCUAGAGGACGAUGUGUGUGCUACAAAGGGCAUGGCUGGAGAAGUGACCCAAGCCCUUGGAGGAGCCCAGAAGAUCGUGAGUUGAAUCCCAGACAUUGGACGGUUGGAGAUUGAUUUUUGCUUUAGCUUGUGACUGUGCCCUGAUAUUUUCCCUCUUGAAGGAAGAAACUAUUUUAGUGGAGCCCACAGUUAAGAAACUUUUAAUUGUAAAAAGACUUUGGAUUUUAAGAGAUGG